AGCCUGCAGAAUUCACAAACAUUAAUUACUAAGAAACAAGAAACAGGCAGAAAGACUUUGGAGUUUUAAGAAUGAAAUUAAAAGGAAAAUGCAGCAAUAAAAGAACAAGUAAAACAAUUUGAGGCACAAUGGCCAGAAUAUGAAGCCAAGAUGGUCAAGCGGGUGGUGGAGCAUGAUUCUUGUAUUGGUCACCAAUAUGAUUCUUGCUAACUUGUUCUUGGUCGAGCCCGUCUCACAGAUGAGAAAAGUUGAUUUUGUACCAAAAUUUUAUUGUACUAAUUUUACUUAUUACUUGUGUGAGUUGUGUCUCUGUUUAAGAAUUCAAGUAUAUAUUUUUAGCUCAACUAUACACAUUAUAUUUUCCAUGAGCAGUUUUAUUUUGAGCCAAGAAUUUGUGAGAAAA